GACGAACGCUGGCGGCGCGCUUAACACAUGCAAGUCGAGCGAGAACCAGGGCUUCGGCCCUGGGGACAGCGGCGAACGGGUGAGUAACACGUGGGUAAUCCACCCUCGGCACCGGAAUAGCCCGGGGAAACCCGGAUUAAUGCCGGAUGGCCCGCCGGCCCCGAGGGGCUGGCGGAAAGGGUAGCUUCGGCCUCCGGCCGAGGACGAGCCCGCGACGGAUUAGCUUGUUGGUGGGGUAACGGCCCACCAAGGCUGCGAUCCGUAGCUGGUCUGAGAGGACGAUCAGCCACACUGGGACUGAGACACGGCCCAGACUCCUACGGGAGGCAGCAGUGGGGAAUCUUGCGCAAUGGGCGAAAGCCUGACGCAGCGACGCCGCGUGGGGGAAGAAGGCCUUCGGGUUGUAAACCUCUUUCAGGAGGGACGAAGCCACUCGGGUUAAUAGCCCAGAGGGUGACGGUACCUCCAGAAGAAGCCCCGGCUAACUACGUGCCAGCCGCCGCCGUAAAAC
rnacentral:rRNA from 1 species